rnacentral:rRNA from 1 species
AGUGAACGCUGGCGGUAGGCCUAACACAUGCAAGUCGAACGGCAGCACAGUAAGAGCUUGCUCUUACGGGUGGCGAGUGACGGACGGGUGAGGAAUACAUCGGAAUCUACUUUUUCGUGGGGGGUAACGUAGGGAAACUUACGCUAAUACCGCAUACGACCUACGGGUUAAAUCCGUGGAUCUUCAGACCUUGCGCGAUUGAAUGAGCCGAUGUCGGAUUAGCUAGUUGGCGGGGUAAAGGCCCACCAAGGCGACGAUCCGUAGCUGGUCUGAGAGGAUGAUCAGCCACACUGGAACUGAGACACGGUCCAGACUCCUACGGGAGGCAGCAGUGGGGAAUAUUGGACAAUGGGCGCAAGCCUGAUCCAGCCAUACCGCGUGGGUGAAGAAGGCCUUCGGGUUGUAAAGCCCUUUUGUUGGGAAAGAAAAGCAGCAGGUUAAUACCCCGCUGUUCUGACGGUACCCAAAGAAUAAGCACCGGCUAACUUCGUG